rnacentral:rRNA from 1 species
AUGCACGCUGGCGGCGUGCCUCAUACAUGCCAGUCGAGCGAACAGACGAGGAGCUUGCUCCUCUGACGUUAGCGGCGGACGGGUGAGUAACACGUGGAUAACCUUCCUAUAAGACUGGGAUAACUUCGGGAAACCGGAGCUAAUACCGGAUAAUAUAUUGAACCGCAUGGUUCAAUAGUGAAAGACGGUUUUGCUGUCACUUAUAGAUGGAUCCGCGCCGCAUUAGCUAGUUGGUAAGGUAACGGCUUACCAAGGCAACGAUGCGUAGCCGACCUGAGAGGGUGAUCGGCCACACUGGAACUGAGACACGGUCCAGACUCCUACGGGAGGCAGCAGUAGGGAAUCUUCCGCAAUGGGCGAAAGCCUGACGGAGCAACGCCGCGUGAGUGAUGAAGGUCUUCGGAUCGUAAAACUCUGUUAUUAGGGAAGAACAAAUGUGUAAGUAACUAUGCACGUCUUGACGGUACCUAAUCAGAAAGCCACGGCUAACUACGUG